rnacentral:rRNA from 1 species
UACGUAGGAUCCGAGCGUUGUCCGGAAUUACUGGGUGUAAAGGGCGUGUAGGUGGAUCUCUAAGUCGGUGGUGAAAUCCUGCAGCUUAACUGUAGAAUUGCCUUCGAUACUGGAGAUCUUGAGUGCGGCAGAGGGAGACGGAAUUCAUGGUGUAGCGGUGAAAUGUGUAGAUAUCAUGAAGAACACCGGUUGCGAAGGCGGUUUCCUGGUCCGUUACUGACACUGAGGCGCGAAAGCGUGGGGAGCAAACAGGAUUAGAUACCCUGGUAGUCCACGCCUUAAACGAUGGGUACUCGGUGCUGGUCCCGUUCGGCAUCCGCUACGGCGGAUUCGGAACGGGGUCAGUGCCAAAGCUAACGCAUUAAGUACCCCACCUGGGGAGUACGAUCGCAAGGUUGAA